rnacentral:tRNA from 2 species
GGAAGGAUGGGUGAGUGGCUGAAACCAACAGUUUGCUAAACUGUCGUACUCGUGAGGGUACCGGGGGUUCGAAUCCCCCUUCUUCCGCCA